GGGCAGGUGUGAUGUAGUUAAUGGAGAUGGAGGUGUGUUCUAGUGGGUCUGAUGUAGUUAAUGGAGAUGGAGGUGUGUUCUAGUGGGUCUGAUGUAGUUAAUGGAGAUGGAGGUGUGUUCUAGUGGGUCUGGGCAGGUGUGAUGUAGUUAAUGGAGAAGGAGGUGUGUUCUAGUGGGUCUGAUGUAGUUAAUGGAGAUGGGGGUGUGUUCUAGUGGGUCUGAUGUAGUUAAUGGAGAUGGAGGUGUGUUCUAGUGGGUCUGAUGUAGUUAAUGGAGAUGGAGGUGUGUUCUAGUGGGUCUGGGCAGGUGUGAUGUACUUCAUGUUUGUAUGAUGUUGUCGUUUGUAUGUUUUGUAUUGUUUAUAAAAAGAUAAAUAAAAUAUUUUCCCCAAU